UACACAAACAUACAAACUCUCACUCUCAAGGUUUCUGAAAAAAAAAAAAAAAGAAAAAAAAAAAACUCUCACUCUCACUCUCACUUACAUCGGCGGCAGAAGACUUUCGUCGGCGGCAACCUCUCAGUCUCAUCUCUCUCACUGUUUCUGCACUCAAUCGCAGUGUGAGGUUACAGAGGCUUUCAUUUCGAAGCCCUUCACUCCGCUCCAAGGGUUUGCCCAAAGGAUAAAUGGACAGCACGUUGGUGGAUGGAGACACUGAGAGUACACUUGCAGAUGGUGGCCCAAGAGUAAAGUCUAUGCUUCAAAUUUCUGACUCGCACAUGGAGGAAUGAGAGAGUUUCUGACUCAUAGACACAAAUGGGAAAGAGACAGAAAUGGAAAAGAGUGGUUUUCGUUAAAAGGUACUCGAGCUCAAAGAACUCGAGUACCAUUUAUUGUGCAUGUCCUAUUACAGUUCACGUCAGUAGUAGUUGGUUGUGUAAUAAAUGAAAAGAUGGUACUCGAGCUUCAUGGGCUCGAGUACUGUUUAAACAGUACUCGAGCCUAUGAAGCUCGAGUACUAAGCCAAUAUUUAAUUCCACCUUUUCCACGCCAGCGUGCCACGGUGGAAUGAAAAAAUGGGGUACUCGAGCUCACCAAGCUCGAGUACCACAAAAAGUGAUAGAUCCCCAAUUAUUUCCGAAACAGUGUUUUAUUACUAAAAAUUUCAAAAAAACAUGGUAUUUGGCCAUUUUGGCCAUCAAAUGGAUGUGAAGAGUGCCUUCUUGAAUAGAUUACUUUAAAAAUUUUAUGUAAAGCAA